GAUGAAGAACGCAGCGAAAUGCGAUACGUAAUGUGAAUUGCAGAAUUCAGUGAAUCAUCGAGUCUUUGAACGCACAUUGCGCCCCCUGGUAUUCCGGGGGGCAUGCCUGUCCGAGCGUCAUUGCUGCCCACAAGCACGGCUUGUGUGUUGGGCCUCCGUCCUCCUCCCGGGGGACGGGCCCGAAAGGCAGCGGCGGCACCGCGUCCGGUCCUCGAGCGUAUGGGGCUUCGUCACCCGCUCUUGUAGGCCCGGCCGGCGCUUGCCGACACAUCAAUCUUUUUUCCAGGUUGACCUCGGAUCAGGUAGGGAUACCCGCUGAACUUAAGCAUAUCAUAAGCGGAGGA
rnacentral:misc_RNA from 1 species